AUCACAGAUCUUUUCAGUUCUUUAGUUUCUACUUCCUGAACCAUGCACAUGCUGAUUUUUAAAUUCUCAUAACAUUCCUGGUAGAAGAGGUCUCCCUUGCACAUAAAGCACAGCUGGAGAAUAUUUGGGUUCUCAUUCAACUAAUCUAUCAAGACUAGAUAAUGAGGGCCUCUUCUGGAAAAUAAGACCUACUUGUUACAUCAGUAACUGUGUGUUUGGUUGUUUUCUUAUGUAUCAAAUUUUGUCUUGGUUGUCACAUGGCAUUAUAACUUAGCAUUGAUUAUGAUAUCCAUAAGAUUCCAUAACUAAUACUAAUAUAUAUUAUACUAUGUUAAUGUGGUAUGCUAUUAAUUGCAACAUAAACUCUCUCUCUUCCAUACAAGUGGAAGUGUAAAUAAAAUAUGUUUGAGUGAUUAUUAUUUAUACUGGAAUAUUUAGGGCCUGAAUAUAUGUUGGAUGGAUGGAUCAUAGGUGGACAGAUGAAUGAGAAAGGAGGGAAUGACAUUUUUUGAGCAUAUUUUAUGUCUCAAGCAGUGUUCUCAGAAUUUUACUUUUUUCUUAUUGAAUUAGUAUACUUACUGGUAACCAGAACCCUGGGUUUUAGCCUAUAAGAAAAGCUUUAAGAUAAGCAUCCUAAAUAAUCUUCCAACUCAGGAUGUGAAACAAGGCAUUCUUAUGGUGCUUUGCCACUGUUAAUUUCAUUCCAAAGGAAUGAUCUUUAAGAGUGGCAUUUUUAAAGUUUAUAUGUUAUAUUUUUGCAAUGCUUCUGGAAAUAUACAGCUAGAUUCUAGCAUGCAUGCCGACUUCCCCUGUUACAAAUAGAAAAGAUGCCAGUGUUGUGUGUAUGUGUAUGUAUAUUCAUGUUAAAUGAACCACUCUGUGUGGUUUCCAGCAAAUUAGGAUGUCUACUUCCUUGUACAAUUGGUAGAAAUAAUCCUGUACUUGGGAUAUUUUGGAGGCAACCGAAAAUAUCAGAGUCAUGUUGUCAAAAUUAGGAUGCUCUUGUUAAGAUCACUGGUAGUUUGGGGAGAAGAGGGUGCCUAUCACUAUGAUGACUACUGUUGGUAAUUUAUAAAUAACAACAGUAAUAAUAGUAGCUAUCAUUCAUUUAUUGAACACAAUAUGUGCUAAAAAUAGUGCAAAGUAUUUGGCUUCCAUUAUUUCAUGUCCUACAAAAACAAAAGCUAAGGCCAAGAGAUUGUGAUUCAUCUAAUGUUGCACAUAUAAGAGAAAGGGAGAGCAGGCAGUGAAUAAUCCCAAUAUCUUCUGUAUCUUAAUACUGAGCUUUGGAGUCAGGAAUCUUUUAGGUGAAAACAAUUGAAAAUCCAAACUGAUUUAUGUGAAAAUGAGGAUUUAUUAACUCAUGUAAUUGAAAAAUCACAGGUAACUAUAUCUUCAUGUAAGACUGUAUUCAGGAACUCAAAUGAUGUCUCAUUUCCUUCUCAUUUCUCUCUCUCUCUCUCUCUCUCUCUCUCUCUCUCUCUCUGUUGUUCCUCUCAUUUCUCCAUCUUUUGGCUUGGCUUUCUUCUUCAGUGUCUUUAUUCUCCAAUAGAAACAUAGCCACCAGCAACUCUAAGCUUCUAUUUUAUUAGCUAGGUCAACCAAUUGAAACAGCAUUUUACCCUUGUCUCAGAACUGAAUUUUAUUGGCCUACCUUGGUUCAUGUGCCUGUCUCUCAACCAAUAACUGCACUGGAGGUGAAAUGCAGUGAUUUGCCAGGAUUAGGUCAUGAACCCAAUCCAUCCCAUGAGAUGGGACCAGCAUUUCCCAAGCCAAAUGGACUAAGAGUGGGAGAGGAUUGUGUCCCCAAAGAGGAAGAGUGUUUGUUUGUUUUAUCGGAAGGUUAAAUGUUUGUUGACAGACAAAUCACAUAUGGCUACGACAGCCACUUAGACUGGAGAAUCUCUCAGACUGGAGAUAUCACAGAGCAGCCUCAUUUGAGAUAUUGGUGGGGGCUCAGUCACAUUCAACCUGGAGUCAUUAUCUCUGUAGAUUAUCUUGCCUAGGGUUCUAGAAAAGUAUUGAAAAGCUUCCAAAUGGCAAAUGCACAACUCGGAAGCAUCUUAAGUAGGUAAACUGGCUCUUUCCCAUGACUCACUAAAAUUUCCAGAAUCAUGAAUGUGAAAGGACCAGGGCUGAGGCUGGAGUAGUUACUGCCAGUGAACAAACCUAAGAUUAUAAUUACAAUAGGUAUUUGACCAGUCCUGAGAUGUUUAACAGUAAAGAUUCCAGUAUCAUUCAAAUCUAAACCAGCUCAAGGGCAGGACUUAUACAAAGGGUCCAAUUAGGAGCUGGCAAUAUAAAGAUAAUGCAAAAAAGUUAAUCUACUGGUAUACCAGUUGUUUUUCUGUACAUUUCCUCUCUCUGCACUGGUUCACUCCUGAAACAGCUGCUUCUGGAGUUUCUAAUAGCACAUGGUUGAAGGGGCGGGGGGAAGGCUGGCAGCUAAACAAAUGGUGGAAUAAUGACUAAAUGGAAAAACAGCUGAGUGCUAUAAUUUACAGAUGAUAGGACUGCAUCCAAACCCAGGAAAUGAGCUCUCUCCACUUAAUAGUCUACAGACUGCCACCUCUGGCAGUGCGUUCUUCUGACUUUACAGGCCAGCUAUGCCACAUUCAACUCCAGCCAGAGAGAAAUGGAAAGGACCUCACUGUCCUUUUUCCUAAACUGCAUUGAGGAGUGUCUGGCCUCCCCAUUUGGGAGCAAAAGCAGUGCCAUUGUAUCCAUAGACGGGAAAGCUAGAAAACAAUUAAUAGAUGCUUAAUAGACUAGAAUCUAACUUUGGGGGUAGUGAACAUUAAUAACCAAAGGCUCCGACAUCCUGUGAAAAAUCAGAGAUGAGGCUUAUUUUUUUAAAAAAUAUCCAUGUAUCAUGGUUUUCAAGCUGAAAGCCUCUGCUUUGUGAUUAUUCUUCAUCUACUCCAGAGACACUUAUGGCCAUAGCAUCAUUUUUGUAUUUAAAAUGCAGGAAUUAUUUGCUAUUAAUACUACUGGAGCAAAUGUAGCUGGCUCAAAUUCCAGUUUCAUUCACUCUCAAGACACUUUCUCUUUGUGUCCCUCCUAGCAAUUUCCAAUCAUAAGACAAUUUUAAUAUUUCAUGGUUGUGUCAUUAUGAAACUGGCAAGCCCAGCUGCUAUUUCUUGUGAGAUAACUAGUUGUAUAUACACUUGAGUUGUAUUUUAUGCUUGUCAUAAAAGACACUGUUAUAGUUUUUGCAAAUUUCUAGGAACAUUGUUGAAGCAAAAUUUUAUAUUUGCCAUUCAUAAUCUCAUUUAAUUUAAUCCCCACAGACUCUUUAGGUGGUGGGAGGGAAAAAAGGGAGACUCUCAGAGGUUAAGUAACUUGGCCAAGGUCAUGUAUCCCUCCCUGACAGAAUUCAAACUCAGUUUCUUCUCAUGACAAAGUCUAUACUUUUCCCAGUUGGAUUCCCAGAAACCUCCUCUCUUUCCAGCCAUUGACAUUUUGAAUGACUUCAAAUUAUUUCCAUCCAUCCCUGGAUUAAACCCACUCUCGGGCCCGUUCACACUGAUAUGGCCAUUAUUACAAGCGUAGUCUUUAAGUGGGACUGUCUUGUUUAUUCCAGGCAUAGUCACAUUUUGUCAUGGUUCAGAUGUCUAAGCCAUUGGUUUCCAACAUGGCUGUUUAUAAAAAUAACCAGCAGAGGUUAAUUGCUGGGCUUGUUUUCAGUUGAAAUGCACCAACUGCAUUCAUGUGAGCUCGCUAACUCAGUAAAGCUAGAGAUGGUCCAAUUCUAAAGGGCCAGAAGUGAUUCUGAUACAUGGCCAGGGUAGAGAAUCAUUCAUUUUGAAAGGAUUAAGUUUCACUGCCAGCCUAAGAGACACAGCCUGUAAUUGAAGGAGAUGUGAGGAUGCUGUCGAUCCAGAACAUCUCAACUCAAUGUGGAGUACCAAAGUUAUUGUUGUUGUUGUUUCUGGUUCAGGGUUAUUACAUUCAGCCUUGUGCAAAAGAUUAUUCUAGGAUUCUUGAUAAUCUGCCAAGCACCCAUGCCCUUCAUGGUUGGGCCAAAUUUUGAUAUGGGAUGGUCUGAUUCUUCCAUGUUCUAUAGGAGAACACCCCAGGUAAACAUUCAUAUAUAUUCAUGUAUAAAAACCAGACAUAGUAGUUUGAUUUCUUGGGCACAUGCAACCAGGUACAAAGUGGGCCCAAGCCAUGAAAGACUGGCACAACUUGGGUCAUUACAGAGAUUUUCUGGUUGAUCCUUUGUUGUGGAAAAAGAGACUUAAAAGUUGCCGUGAUUCUCAGAAGAGCAAGUUGAAAAUAAUGAAUCCCAUCUGCUUCAGAUUGUUGCUGUAAAACAGUGGUUCUCAAAGUGCGGUUCUUAUAAUGAGCAAAAUUAGCAUCACCUGAGAAGUGGUUAGAGAUGCAAAUUUUAAGUUCCCACUCCAAACCUGCUGAGUCAAAAACUCUGGGGGUGAAGCCUAGCAAUCUGUGCAGGAACAAGCCCUGAUCCAUGCUGAAAUGUGAGAAUCAGAAUAGCACUUUUGUUUUGGGUGUUUUUAUAGCUUUGUUGAGAUAUAAUCAAUAUGCCAAAAAAAAAAAAAAACUGCACAUAUUUUACGGAUUAAAUCUAAUGUUUGGCUAUAAACAUGCAGCAGUGAUACCCUUACCACCAUCAGUGUAACAAACAUAUCCAUCACUGCCAAAAAUCUCCUUGUGUCCCUUUAUUUUGUAUGUGUAUGUGUGGUUAAGAAUACUUAAUGUAAGAUCUACCCUCUUAACACAUUUUAAGUUCAAAUAAGUUGUUAUAACUGUAGGGACUAUACCAUACUGCAUAUCUCUAGAACUUUAAACCCAUCAGAAACUUCUCAUUUCCCUGUCCCCACAUCUGCUAUAAAUCAGCAUUCAUUUUCCACUUUUAGACAUGUGAUUGUUUUAAAUGGCCCACUUACAAGUGAAAUUAUACAGUAUUUGUCCUUCGAUGACUGACUUAUUUCAUUAAUUAUAAUGGCUUUGAGGUCCAUCCAUGUUGCCGCAGGUGGUAGGAUUUCCUUCUUUUUUAAAGCUGCAUAGUAUGCCUGUGAGUGUGUGUGUGUGUGUGUGUGUGACAAUUUCUUUAUUCAUUCACCCAUGGACACUUACUUGUUUCCCUGUUUUGGCUGCUGUGAACAAUGGUGCAAUGAACGUGAAGGGGCACAUAUCUUUCCAAGAUACCACUUUCAAUUAUUUUGGAUGCAUAUACAGAAGUGGUGAGAGGGGUGGACUGGGGACUUGUGAUUGGUAUAUGCCCACUGAGGUAUAUGGAAUGAUUGGCCAACAGGGACCUGUCGUAUAGCACAGGGAAUUCUACCCAGUAUCCUGUGAUAAUCUACGUGGGAAAAGAUUCUGAAAAAGAAUGGAUAUAUGUAUGAUAUAACUGAAUCACUUUGUUGUACAGAAGAAAUUAUCACAACCUUGUAAAUCAACUAUACUUCAAUAAAACUAAAAAAAAUUGAUUAAAAAUGAAGUGGGAUUGCUAGAUCAUAUGAUAGUUCUAAUUUUUAUUUUUUGAGGAAUCUCCACACUAUUUCCCAGAAUGGCUGCACUAUUUUUCAUUCCCACCAAUAGUGUACAAAUUAUCCAAGUCCUCACCAACACCUGUUGUCCUUCCCGCUCUCUCUCUUAUUUUUUUGGUAAUAAUAUUCAUCCCAACUGGUAUGAGGUAAAAUCUCAUUGUGGUAUUGAUUUGCAUUUCCCUGAUGAUUAGUGAUGUUGAGCACCUAUCGUAUACCUGUUGGCCAUUUUUAUAUCUUCUGUGGAGAAAUGUAUAUGCAGACCCUUUGUCCAUUUUUUAAUAGGAUUAUUUGGUUUUUUGCUUUUGAGUUGUAAUUGUUCCUUACAUAUUAUAAAAAUUUAACCCCUUAUCAGAUCAAUGAUUUGCAAAUAUCUUCUCCCAUUCUAAGCACUGCAACUUCACUCUAUUGUACAAAAGUGUUUUAGUUUUGGAGUUCCCAUCAUGGUGCAGCGGAAACAAGUCCACCUGGGAACCAUGGGGUUGUGGGUUCGAUCCCUGGCCUCACUCAGUGGGUUGGGGACCCGGCAUUGCCAUGAGGUGUGGUACAGGUUUCAGAUGCAGCCUGGAUCCUCCGUUGCUGUGGCUGUGCCAUAGGCCAGCAGCUACAGCUCUGAUUUGACCCCUAGCCUGGGAACUUCCACAUGAUGUGGGUGCAGCCG
rnacentral:lncRNA from 1 species